rnacentral:rRNA from 1 species
ACAGGGAUUACCUCAGUAACGGCGAGUGAAGCGGUAACAGCUCAAAUUUGAAAGCUAGCUCUUUGAGGGUUCGCAUUGUAAUUUGUAGAAGAUGCUUCGGGUGUGGCCCCGGUCUAAGUUCCUUGGAACAGGACGUCAUAGAGGGUGAGAAUCCCGUAUGUGACUGGGUGCUUUCGCUCAUGUGAAGCUCUUUCGACGAGUCGAGUUGUUUGGGAAUGCAGCUCUAAAUGGGUGGUACAUUUCAUCUAAAGCUAAAUAUUGGCCAGAGACCGAUAGCGCACAAGUAGAGUGAUCGAAAGAUGAAAAGCACUUUGGAAAGAGAGUUAAACAGUACGUGAAAUUGUUGAAAGGGAAGCGCUUGCAACCAGACUUGCGCGCUGAUGAUCAUCCGGGCUUCUGCCCGGUGCACUCGUCUGCGCUCAGGCCAGCAUCGGUUUCGGUGGUGGGAUAAAGGCCUUGGGAAUGUAGCUCCUCUCGGGGAGUGUUAUAGCCCUCGGUGCAAUGCCGCCUACCGGGACCGAGGACCGCGCUUCGGCUAGGAUGCUGGCGUAAUGGUUGUAAGCGACCCGUCUUGAAACACGGACCAAGGAGUCUAACAUCUAUGCGAGUGUUUGGGUGUCAAACCCAUACGCGUAAUGAAAGUGAACGGAGGUGAGAACCCUUAAGGGUGCAUCAUCGACCGGUCCUGAUGUCUUCGGAUGGAUCUGAGUAAGAGCAUAGCUGUUGGGACCCGAAAGAUGGUGAACUAUGCGUGAAUAGGGUGAAGCCAGAGGAAACUCUGGUGGAGGCUCGCAGCGGUUCUGACGUGCAAAUCGAUCGUCAAAUUUGCGUAUAGGGGCGAAAGACUAAUCGA